rnacentral:rRNA from 11 species
UCUGUCGGUCGGAAAACCCCAAAGUCCCCAGAUCUCCUCUGAUCUUGGAAGCUAAGCAGGGUCAGUCUUGGUUGAGACUUGGAUGGGAGACCGGCAACUAACGCAGUAGACCAAGGAACUGGCCAAA